AGAGUUUGAUCCUGGCUCAGGAUGAACGCUAGCGGCAGGCUUAAUACAUGCAAGUCGUGGGGCAGCACAGGUAGCAAUACUGGGUGGCGACCGGCAAACGGGUGCGGAACACGUACGCAACCUUCCUUCAAAUGGGGGAUAGCCCACCGAAAGGUGGAUUAAUACCCCGUAAUAACUCCGGGUGGCAUCACCUGGUUUUU
rnacentral:rRNA from 1 species